CUAUAUUUAUUUUAUUAAAUUGUGUUGUAUAACUAACUCAAUUGAAAUCAUAUGAUGAAUACAACAUGUUAUUGUUGUGUCAUGUUAAAACAGAUGUCUGGGCCGUUAGAAAGCUUACUAACGUGAACUUUCAUAUGACAUUGACUGGUUAAAUCCAAUGAGGGUUAGCCAGCUAGCUAGCUAACGUUGACUAACGAUAUGCCUGCCAUAAAACUAGCCAAACGUAACUAAAUAAUCCGGCCAAACCAAAAUCAAUGUUUAUAGUAAUUUAGUUCAUUGACCUGUAAUAAUUAUCGAUAACGGGCUAAUUUAUAGACUUGCAUGGCUAACUGGGGGCGUUCCAAUUCAUCUAAGAGGAAACGUUAGUCUUGCUAGCGUGUCACACUAUAAUUUUGGGUGUGUUCGUAAAUUCAAUAUGGGUGUUCGUAAAUGUAGAGCGUUGUCAGAUUGUCCGUUUGUAAAUUCAGAGUUUCGCUCUCGGAGCGUUCAGAGCGCACACUGGACGCGUUGCCAGUCAAGCACCCAAGCUAACUGGCUAACGUUGGGUAGUUUGCUGAUUGGGCGUAUAUACCCACGUGAGUGAUUGAAAGCUGAACUGAGGUCCACACUCGGUUCAUCUUUAUGGUAAUGCACCGUAAAGGUGGUUGCCAACCGCCAUUUAAAGUCCAAAGAAGAAAAAAGAAGCCUGAAGGAAUUUACCGUUUUAUCUGUGGAUUAAUUGUUGGAGUAGAGGACCUUGUACAUUUCAGACCGCAAGGUGGUCAUUCUUGCUCAUUGGCAUGUUCUAUGGCAAACAGAGAUAUGACUAUCUGAAGCCAAGAGCUGAGGAAGAG